rnacentral:rRNA from 1 species
AACGAACGCUGGCGGCAUGCCUAACACAUGCAAGUCGAACGAGACCUUCGGGUCUAGUGGCGCACGGGUGCGUAACGCGUGGGAACCUGCCCUUAGGUUCGGAAUAACUCCCCGAAAGGGGUGCUAAUACCGGAUACUGUCUUCGGACCAAAGCUUUAUCGCCUUUGGAUGGGCCCGCGUUGGAUUAGCUAGUUGGUAGGGUAAAAGCCUACCAAGGCGACGAUCCAUAGCUGGUCUGAGAGGAUGAUCAGCCACACUGGGACUGAGACACGGCCCAGACUCCUACGGGAGGCAGCAGUGGGGAAUAUUGGACAAUGGGCGAAAUCCUGAUCCAGCAAUGCCGCGUGAGUGAUGAAGGCCUUAGGGUUGUAAAGCUCUUUUACCCGGGAUGAUAAUGACAGUACCGGGAGAAUAAGCUCCGGCUAACUCCGUG